GAGCCGUCACCGCCUGACCAUCGUCGUCUAGUAUUGAACUCCCAAAUUCCUCGAUAACACUUUGCAAUAUUUCGCCUUCUUCCUCCCCGCGCCCUAGCCUUCGAUCCACCCCCAAAUUCGACCCUCCCUUCCACUCCCUCCUCAUCGUCAUGGCGUCAGACACCGAGGGCAUAGCCGCGCUGUUCUCCAUGUACAACGAUGACGACGAAGAGGACGCCGACGAGCCCGGACCUCCUUCCCCGCCGCCGCCCGCUGCGGCAGCCUCCCCCUCCACGUCACCUCGAACCGGAGGUGAGAGCUCCAACCCUAACUCGAACCCCAACCCUUCGCCGGAGCACUCGCCCCCUCCCCUCCUCGAGGAGCAGGCCGGCCGCAAAACCCUAGCGAGCCCCCAGGUCUCGCCGGCGCUUCCGCCGCUGCCCUCGCGCCGUUCGCCCCUGCCCUUCGCGGUUUCGUCCCCCUCCCCAUCUCGCCCCCCGCUGUCCGCCCCGCCGCCCGAUCUACCGCGGCCGCCACGGCGCGGGUCGCUUGCUAUAGUGGACUACGCGCAUGACGAGAUGGCAAUGUCGCCUGACCAGGAGGACGGGGAGAUCAUGAGUGGCAUAGGCGGUUUGGGCUCGGAUGCUCAGGAUGCUGAGGGGAUUCUUGAAGAAAGAAUUCUCUCAGGUACUGUUAAUAUUCUCACCCCAAAAGUCCUAUCAGAAACUUCUCAGCAUUUGGAUGCACCUGAGCAGAACCAAAUGGGGGCAGAUGUUCCAGUGGAUGUAACUGGAACAGAAGCUGAAGAUGCUAGGGUGGAGGAAGCUUCUGAUAUUUCUACCAAUGUUCACAAUGAUGAUCCAUUGAGCCGUUUUCUUCCUCUGCCCGUGUCUACAAAAUGUUCUACAGCAUUACAGCAAAGGAUUAACAAGUUCCUUGGAUACAAAAGGUCUGGAAAGAGCUUUAAUGCUGAAGUGCGUAACAGAAAGGACUACAGAAAUCCUGACUUUUUGCAGCAUGCUGUGCGGUAUCAAGAAAUUGAUCAGAUAGGGACCUGCUUCAGUAAAGAUGUUUUCAAUCCAUAUGGGUACGAUAAAAGUGACUACUACGAUGAGAUAGAAGCUGAUAUGAAGCGUGAACUUGAGAGGAAGGAACAGGAGAAGAAAAGAAAUCCAAGAAUUGAUUUUACUAGCUCUGGAAUACAACCUCCAAUCAAUCCAUCAAUAGCGAAGAUUUCAGCCGCCAUAUCAGCAGCAGCUGUAGCUGGUGUAUCGGUUCCGGCAUCGGCAGAUACUGUACAGAAAGAGGCUAGGCCAAACAAAAAGUCAAAAUGGGAUAAGCUAGGUUGAUGGUGAUACUAAGAACCCUGCAGCUGCUAGUGGACUUGACAAUCGGUCAGCAGCCGGUGGAUCUGCCACACUUUUGACUUCUGAAAAUGCUGGUGCUGGUGGAUAUGCUGCUUUUGCGCAACAGAAGAGAAAAGAAGCUGAAGAAAGGAGGACAAGUGAUUACAAGUCAGAUAGGAGAUCAUAGCUGUUCUAUUUUGUUAUUUGAUUGGGAGAUUUCGGAUUGCAUAGUUGUGUAAUCAUGUAAUGUACAAACAAAUUUUGUAGUUGCUGCAAGGGACUCCUGAAAAAAAAAAUCAUAUGCGCCAACACGAAUGCAUUAAAAGAACUGGGAGCACUUUCCCCCUAUAGAUCAAUGCUAAGCUUGUCGUA